CUAUACAUGCAGUCGAGCGGACUGAUUAAGAGCUUGCUCUUAAUUCGUUUGCGGCGGACGGGUGAGUAACACGUGGGCAACCUGCCCUGUAGACUGGGAUAACAUCUAGAAAACUCUGCUCAUACCCGAUAAAAUCUGAGACCUCUUGGGCUUUUACUAAAAAAUAGGUCCCGCUAUCUCUACACGAUGGGCCCCCGGCGCAUUAGCUAGUUGGUAAGGUAAUGGCUUACCAAGGGGACGAUGCGUAGCCGACCUGAGAGGGGGAUCGGCCACACUGGGACUGAGACACGGCCCAGACUCCUACGGGAGGCAGCAGUAGGGAAUCUUCCGCAAUGGACGAAAGUCUGACGGAGCAACGCCGCGUGAGUGAUGAAGGAUUUCGGUUCGUAAAGCUCUGUUGUUAGGGAAGAACAAGUAUCGUUCGAAUAGGGCGGUACCUUGACGGUACCUAACCAGAAAGCCACGGCUAACUACGUGCCAGCAGCCGCGGUAAUACGUAGGUGGCAAGCGUUGUCCGGAAUUAUUGGGCGUAAAGCGCGCGCAGGCGGUCUUUUAAGUCUGAUGUGAAAGCCCACGGCUCAACCGUGGAGGGUCAUUGGAAACUGGGAGACUUGAGUACAGAAGAGGAGAGUGGAAUUCCACGUGUAGCGGUGAAAUGCGUAGAUAUGUGGAGGAACACCAGUGGCGAAGGCGACUCUCUGGUCUGUAACUGACGCUGAGGCGCGAAAGCGUGGGGAGCAAACAGGAUUAGAUACCCUGGUAGUCCACGCCGUAAACGAUGAGUGCUAGGUGUUAGGGGUUUCGAUGCCCUUAGUGCCGAAGUUAACACAUUAAGCACUCCGCCUGGGGAGUACGACCGCAAGGUUGAAACUCAAAGGAAUUGACGGGGGCCCGCACAAGCAGUGGAGCAUGUGGUUUAAUUCGAAGCAACGCGAAGAACCUUACCAGGUCUUGACAUCCUUUACCCCCCUAAAAUAGGGUUUCCCUUCGGGGGACAAGUGACAGGUGGUGCAUGGUUGUCGUCAGCUCGUGUCGUGAGAUGUUGGGUUAAGUCCCGCAACGAGCGCAACCCUUGAUCUUAGUUGCCAGCAUUUAGUUGGGCACUCUAAGGUGACUGCCGGUGACAAACCGGAGGAAGGUGGGGAUGACGUCAAAUCAUCAUGCCCCUUAUGACCUGGGCUACACACGUGCUACAAUGGAUGGUACAAAGAGCAGCGAACCGCGAGGUCGAGCCAAUCUCAUAAAGCCAUUCUCAGUUCGGAUUGUAGGCUGCAACUCGCCGUACAUGAAGCCGGAAUUGCUAGUAAUCGCGGAUCAGCAUGCCGCGGUGAAUACGUUCCCGGGCCUUGUACACACCGCCCGUCACACCACGAGAGUUUGUAACACCCGAAGUCGGUGGAGUAACCCUUUUGGGAGCUAGCCGCCUAA
rnacentral:rRNA from 1 species